UUGAACGCUGGCGGCAUGCCUUACACAUGCAAGUCGAACGGUAGAGUAGCAAUACUCGAGAGUGGCGAACGGGUGAGUAAUAUAUCGGAACGUGCCCAGUCGUGGGGGAUAACGUAGAGAAAUUUACGCUAAUACCGCAUAUUCUGUGAGCAGGAAAGAGGGGGAUCGCAAGACCUCUCGCUUCCGGAGCGGCCGAUGUCGGAUUAGCUAGUUGGCGGGGUAAAGGCCCACCAAGGCGACGAUCCGUAGCGGGUCUGAGAGGAUGAUCCGCCACACUGGGACUGAGACACGGCCCAGACUCCUACGGGAGGCAGCAGUGGGGAAUUUUGGACAAUGGGCGCAAGCCUGAUCCAGCCAUGCCGCGUGAGUGAAGAAGGCCUUCGGGUUGUAAAGCUCUUUCGGCGGGGAAGAAAUCGCGCUUUCUAAUACAGAGCGUGGAUGACGGUACCCGAAUAAGAAGCACCGGCUAACUACGU
rnacentral:rRNA from 1 species